rnacentral:piRNA from 1 species
AAGAGUGAUGUUGUGCCAUUUGU